CCUACGGGUCGCACCAGUAGGGAAUCUUCGGCAAUGGACGAAAGUCUGACCGAGCAACGCCGCGUGAGUGAAGAAGGUUUUCGGAUCGUAAAACUCCGUUGUUAGAGAAGAACAAGGACGUUAGUAACUGAACGUCCCCUGACGGUAUCUAACCAGAAAGCCACGGCUAACUACGUGCCAGCAGCCGCGGUAAUACGUAGGCGGCAAGCGUUGUCCGGAUUUAUUGGGCGUAAAGCGAGCGCAGGCGGUUUCUUAAGUCUGAUGUGAAAGCCCCCGGCUCAACCGGGGAGGGUCAUUGGAAACUGGGAGACUUGAGUGCAGAAGAGGAGAGUGGAAUUCCAUGUGUAGCAGUGAAAUGCGUAGAUAUAUGGAGGAACACCAGUGGCGAAGGCGGCUCUCUGGUCUGUAACUGACGCUGAGGCUCGAAAGCGUGGGGAGCAAACAGGAUUAGAUACCCCCGUAGUC
rnacentral:rRNA from 1 species